AGACCAUCCACGAUCCUGUCACAUCUGCUAGUGCAGCCUCACCUGCUGCUGGAAGCAGUCACUGAUGAUGAAAUAAUGCCAGCUUUGUGCCACCCCACCCAUGCCGAGCGACCUGACUACGGGUGUCAACCUCUGCCAUGGCCAGAUUGGUCAAGGGGCAACGUCUACCUGUCACCACAAAACCUGCUCUGGAAAUUAUAACUAUUUUAGGAAAAGCACUUACUAAACCCAAACUACUCUUACAGACGACCAGGCUCUGAAACACUGGAAAUAAUUGACUCUUUUCACUGUUUCCCAAGAUGAGGAAUGAGUGCCCGGCCUUGCAGCGUUGUCAUUGUACAGCAAAGACAGCCCAUGUGGAAGAGAUAAAAAGCCCAAACACUCCCAGUUCACCUCUGUGUGGAUGAAGAAGAACAAAACCAGAGGGCGAUGCAGCUUUAUCAACAACUGCCAGUCACUACAGUUUCGCCAUAUGCAAAUACGUCAACAUUCAUUUGUUGAAUUUGUUCAAAGCAAAAUGGUUCUAGAAACAGAAGUGCUGACAAAUAGAAGGGGCUGUCACAUGGA